GAUGAACGCUGGCGGCGUGCCUAAUACAUGCAAGUCGAGCGAAUGGAUUAAGAGCUUGCUCUUAUGAAGUUAGCGGCGGACGGGUGAGUAACACGUGGGUAACCUGCCCAUAAGACUGGGAUAACUCCGGGAAACCGGGGCUAAUACCGGAUAACAUUUUGAACCGCAUGGUUCGAAAUUGAAAGGCGGCUUCGGCUGUCACUUAUGGAUGGACCCGCGUCGCAUUAGCUAGUUGGUGAGGUAACGGCUCACCAAGGCAACGAUGCGUAGCCGACCUGAGAGGGUGAUCGGCCACACUGGGACUGAGACACGGCCCAGACUCCUACGGGAGGAAGCAGUAGGGAAUCUUCCGCAAUGGACGAAAGUCUGACGGAGCAACGCCGCGUGAGUGAUGAAGGCUUUCGGGUCGUAAAACUCUGUUGUUAGGGAAGAACAAGUGCUAGUUGAAUAAGCUGACACCUUGACGGUACCUAACCAGAAAGCCACGGCUAACUACUUGCCAGCAACCGCGGUAA
rnacentral:rRNA from 1 species